UCGAGAAUCUUCCGCAAUGGACGAAAGUCUGACGGAGCGACGCCGCGUGGAGGAUGAAGUAUUUCGGUAUGUAAACUCCUUUUAUGAGGGACGAAGUUAUUGACGGUACCUCAUGAAUAAAGGGUUGCUAAACUCGUGCCAGCAGCAGCGGUAAUACGAGUGCCCUAAGCGUUAUCCGGAAUCAUUGGGCGUAAAGGGUGUGUAGGUGGUUGUGUUAGUCUUGUGUUAAAUUCUUCGGCUUAACCGGGGGUCUGCAUGGGAAACGGCACAACUAGAGGAUAGGAGAGGUAUGUGGAACUCAUAGUGUAGGGGUGAAAUCCGUUGAUAUUAUGGGGAACACCAAAUGCGAAGGCAACAUACUGGCCUACUCCUGACACUGAAACACGAAAGCGUGGGUAGCGAAUGGG
rnacentral:rRNA from 1 species